GACGGAGGAGGCAAGCGUUAUCCGGAAUUAUUGGGCGUAAAGGGUACGUAGGCGGCUGGUCAAGUCUGGGGUCAAAGGCCACAGCUCAACUGUGGGAAGGCCCUGGAAACUGGCCGGCUAGAGUGAGGUAGGGGUUGCGGGAAUUCCCGGUGUAGCGGUGAAAUGCGUAGAGAUCGGGAAGAACACCUGAGGCGGAAGCGCGCAACUGGGCCUCAACUGACGCUGAGGUACGAAAGCGUGGGGAGCAAACAGG
rnacentral:rRNA from 1 species